GACGAACGCUGGCGGCGUGCUUAACACAUGCAAGUCGAACGGUAAGGCCCUUCGGGGUACACGAGUGGCGAACGGGUGAGUAACACGUGGGUGAUCUGCCCUGCACUUCGGGAUAAGCCUGGGAAACUGGGUCUAAUACCGGAUAGGACCAUGGACUUCACGGUUUGUGGUGGAAAGCUUUUGCGGUGUGGGAUGGGCCCGCGGCCUAUCAGCUUGUUGGUGGGGUAAUGGCCUACCAAGGCGACGACGGGUAGCCGGCCUGAGAGGGUGUCCGGCCACACUGGGACUGAGAUACGGCCCAGACUCCUACGGGAGGCAGCAGUGGGGAAUAUUGCACAAUGGGCGCAAGCCUGAUGCAGCGACGCCGCGUGAGGGAUGACGGCCUUCGGGUUGGUAAACCUCUUUCAAUAGGGACGAAGCGCAAGUGACGGUACCUAUAGAAGAAGCACCGGCCAACUACGUGCCAGCAGCCGCGGUAAU
rnacentral:rRNA from 1 species